rnacentral:lncRNA from 1 species
UCAGAGCAUGUGGUUCGGGAGGUGGUCAGCGAGCUGCGCAGGGUGAUGCAGCUGCGUUUCACUGCCGCCACGCUAACCCCUGAAACCCUGUCGGCUCUGCCCACUCAGCUUCUCACCGCACAGCUCAAGGCGGCUAAGCUGGAGCAUUUUGUUGCCAUCUGGUCGGCGGGUGGCGCGCUUUGUGAAGUGAAGGAGGUUCAGGGUGGGUCACCGAAGUUGAACUUGCGGCUGACGCUUGCAUCACCUGUGCAAGCCCCCUAGGUUUCCUUUUGGGCGGCGGUUCUUUCCAGGCGCUGGCGUGGCGUUUAUCGUCAUCAGCUUAUCUGGCGCCCAUGUGUUUUAGCUCUGGCUGGCGUCGCAGCGCCUGGGCGGCUGUGGGACUUCCUGCACAGCGCGUCUUGCAGCGGACUGGAGCCCGCUUAGUCAGCGCCACAUCUGGCCCGGUUAGUUUUCUGCUUGUGUCUCCUCUGCCGGUUCUCCUGGGGUGUUGCUUAAGCAACCGACUUGUGGGGGUG